rnacentral:rRNA from 1 species
CAGCAGCCGCGGUAAUACGGAGGGAGCUAGCGUUGUUCGGAAUUACUGGGCGUAAAGCGCGCGUAGGCGGUUACUCAAGUCAGAGGUGAAAGCCCGGGGCUCAACCCCGGAACUGCCUUUGAAACUAGGUGACUAGAAUCUUGGAGAGGUCAGUGGAAUUCCGAGUGUAGAGGUGAAAUUCGUAGAUAUUCGGAAGAACACCAGUGGCGAAGGCGACUGACUGGACAAGUAUUGACGCUGAGGUGCGAAAGCGUGGGGAGCAAACAGGAUUAGAUACCCCAGUAGUCCCUGUCUCUUAUAA